AUUUUCUUGGGGCUCAGUUGGUAGAUCAUUACGCUACAAACACAACGUUUGUGGGUUCAUAUCCCAGGGAAAGUA